GACGCACUAGUCCAGUAAAGUGUACACCUCACGAAUUUUGGAAACUGCCUUGUUAGUUCCCUUACUUUAAUUUGCAGUGCUGUGCUUUGAAACACAAAUCAUAGGAUCUCAAUAUAAAUGGGGGCCGAGGUCUUCCCAUGAGUAUUGGUAACCAAUUAAGAAAACAGCAAGAGAUGGGUGCAGGCGGCAAGGCUUUCCUCAUCCUCUGCAUUCUCUUAUCCAUUCCUUCUGAGGCCUUGGUGGUGUCUGAUACUCUAAAACCUCCACAAGCACUACAUAUUGUUCGGCAUAUAAUUGAAUCAAGACGCUGUGGGGCUGUAUGCCCAAGUAAUCCAGUCCAUGCCCCCAAAGGAAGUUGCAGACCUGCAGGUAAACACGGCUGCGGAAGGCCUCCGGCUCCGUGAAUUUGGUCUGUUAUUCUUAUGGUGUUUUUGGCAGCUAUGAGGGUAAUAAAGCAAUAAACUGGGGCAUCUCUCUACAUGUGAAUUCUCACAACUGGGCUCUUGGAUGCGCAUGUGUAAUAUGUAGAUGAGCGAAAAAGAAAAGGUGCAGUUUCUCGUUGUAAUGGUGUAUGAGAAGAAUUAAUGAUUGUGUUGCUUCAGUAUGGAUUACUUUGCCUCUGUAGUUAAUGAUAAUAAAUUCAUAAUCA